rnacentral:tRNA from 2 species
AGCUUUAUAGUCAAGUUUAUGAUAUUAGACUGCAAUUCUAAGGUAGGGGAAACCCUAAAGCUU